AUCACCAGGGAACUUGUUAAAAUGCAGAUUUUAAUUCAGUGGGAUUGGGUGGGUGCUGAGAAUUCUACAUUUCUAACAAGAUCCCAGGUGAUGGUGA
rnacentral:pre_miRNA from 1 species